UACGUAGGGUGCAAGCGUUGUCCGGAAUUAUUGGGCGUAAAGGGCUCGUAGGCGGUCUGUCACGUCGGGAGUGAAAACUCAGGGCUUAACCCUGAGCCUGCUUCCGAUACGGGCAGACUAGAGGUAUGCAGGGGAGAACGGAAUUCCUGGUGUAGCGGUGAAAUGCGCAGAUAUCAGGAGGAACACCGGUGGCGAAGGCAGCUUCUUGGCUCAUUCCUGACGUUGAGGCACGAAAGCGUGGGGAGCAAACAGG
rnacentral:rRNA from 1 species